ACCUAUCUAUAAAAAUAGAUAAUGGAAAUCAUUUCAAAAUUCUACGAAAAAAUGACGUCAUGUACAUGCAAUAGCCUGGAUCAUCACGUAAAUACUUUCUGAUAUACACAACGUUUAUCAACCGACACAGUAAUAAAGACUACGAUAGACACACCCUGCAUGGGAAUCAUUUAACUAGCGCGCACAGAUUAUUUCUUGUCACUAGUGUGGUCUUUGGCGUAGCAGUUAGAUACGAAAUGGCUUCGAACUCAAAGCCUGAAAUGAAAUGCCAAUGUAGCAAAUGUAUGGUACGGCCUUGUGGAGCUGAAUGUCUUCACUGUAUCACGUCGCUCUGUUGUCGCUCUGUUCAAGCAAUUGACAAGUAUAUGGCUGGCAAACCCAACGGGGCUUGUGUCAUCGAAGAAGAUUUCUUCAUCAAAGAAUGUUUGAAUCAGGAGAAAUUGAAAGAACUGUAUCCUAAAUAUGAAAGAGGAGGGCUGCGUGAUGGGGGGCAUGUUAACGAGAAACAUCGUUACACAGCAUGUCGACAUUUUGUUCGCGUAACCCAUGGUGAACUUCCAGUGGGUGAUCAGAGGGAACUUCCUGCAUGCGUUAUAAAGGCAAUUCACAACACAUUCCCUCUGCCGUACGUAAAAUAGAAGUACUAGCCUAUAAUAUUUAAUUGGCUUGUAGUGUAAAAAAAAAAUAAUAAAAAAAAAUAAAAAAAAUAAACUGCUAA